rnacentral:rRNA from 1 species
AGGGUUUGAUCAUGGCUCAGAACGUACGCUGGCGGCACGCCUAACACAUGCAAGUCGAACGAAGUAGCAAUACUUAGUGGCAGACGGGUGAGUAACAUGUGGGUAUCUGCCCUUUGGCCUGGAAUAACACGAGGAAACUUGUGCUAAUACCGGAUAAGUCUUUACGGAGAAAGCUUUAUGCACCAUUGGAUGAGCCCGCACUUGAUUAGUUUGUUGGUGGGGUAACGGCCUACCAAGACUGUGAUCAAUAGCUGAUUUGAGAGGAUGAUCAGCCACAUUGGGACUGAGACACGGCCCAAACUCCUACGGGAGGCAGCAGUGGGGAAUCUUGCACAAUGGAGGAAACUCUGAUGCAGCGAUGCCGCGUGAGUGAAGAAGGCCCUUGGGUUGUAAAGCUCUUUCGUCGGGGAAGAAAAUGACUGUACCCGAAUAAGAAGGUCCGGCUAACUUCGUGCCAGCAGCCGCGGUAAUACGAAGGGACCUAGCGUAGUUCGGAAUUACUGGGCUUAAAGAGUUCGUAGGUGGUUGAAAAAGUUGGUGGUGAAAUCCCAGAGCUUAACUCUGGAACUGCCAUCAAAACUUUUCAGCUAGAGUUUGAUAGAGGAAAGCAGAAUUUCUAGUGUAGAGGUGAAAUUCGUAGAUAUUAGAAAGAAUACCAAUUGCGAAGGCAGCUUUCUGGAUCAUUACUGACGCUGAGGAACGAAAGCAUGGGUAGCGAAGAGGAUUAGAUACCCUCGUAGUCCAUGCUGUAAACGAUGUGUGUUAGACGUUGGAAAUUUAUUUUCAGUGUCGCAGCGAAAGCGAUAAACACACCGCCUGGGGAGUACGACCGCAAGGUUAAAACUCAAAUGAAUUGACGGGGACCCGCACAAGUAGUGGAGCAUGUGGUUUAAUUCGAAGAUACGCGCAGAACCUUACCAACACUUGACAUGUUCGUCGCGACUUUAAGAGAUUAAAGUUUUCGGUUCGGCCGGACGAAACACAGGUGCUGCAUGGCUGUCGUCAGCUCGUGUCGUGAGAUGUUGGGUUAAGUCCCGCAACGAGCGCAACCCUCACUUUUAGUUGCCAUCAUUAAGUUGGGCACUCUGAAAGAACUGCCAGUGAUAAGCUGGAGGAAGGUGGGGAUGACGUCAAGUCCUCAUGGCCCUUACGUGUUGGGCUACACACGUGCUACAAUGGUAUCUACAACAGGAAGCAAAACAGCGAUGUUAAGCAAAUCCUUAAAAGAUACCUCAGUUCGGAUUGCACUCUGCAACUCGAGUGCAUGAAGCUGGAAUUACUAGUAAUCGUGGAUCAGCGUGCCACGGUGAAUGCGUUCCCGGGUCUUGUACACACCGCCCGUCACACCAUGGGAGUUGGUUCUACCUUAAGGCAAGGUUUAAUACCCUUGACCACGGUAUAGUCAGCGACUGGGGUGAAGUCAUAACAAGGUAGCCGUA